AUGGACAUACCACAUUGAAAACACCGGUUCUCGUCCAAUCAUCGAAGUUAAGCAACGUCGGGCCCGGUCAGUACUUGGGAGGGUGACCACUUGGGAACACCGGAUAAUGUAAGCU